CCUACGGGAGGCAGCAGUGGGGAAUAUUGCACAAUGGGCGGAAGCCUGAUGCAGAGACGCCGCGUGAGGGAUGAAGGCCUUCGGGUUGUAAACCUCUUUCAGCAGGGACGAAGCGUGAGUGACGGUACCUGCAGAAGAAGCACCGGCUAACUACGUGCCAGCAGCCGCGGUAAUACGUAGGGUGCGAGCGUUGUCCGGAAUUACUGGGCGUAAAGAGUUCGUAGGCGGUUUGUCGAGUCGUUUGUGAAAACCCGGGGCUCAACUUCGGGCUUGCAGGCGAUACGGGCAGACUUGAGUGUUUCAGGGGAGACUGGAAUUCCUGGUGUAGCGGUGAAAUGCGCAGAUAUCAGGAGGAACACCGGUGGCGAAGGCGGGUCUCUGGGAAACAACUGACGCUGAGGAACGAAAGCGUGGGUAGCAAACAGGAUUAGAUACCCUGGUAGUCCACGCCGUAAACGGUGGGCGCUAGGUGUGGGUUCCUUCCACGGGAUCUGUGCCGUAGCUAACGCA
rnacentral:rRNA from 1 species